rnacentral:snRNA from 1 species
GUGCUUAACUCUGCAUCACAUGUGUUGAAAUUAUAACAAUACUGAGAGGAUUAGCACAUCUCCUGCUCAAGAGUAACACACAAAAAAUUCAUAAAGCAUUUCAGUUU